rnacentral:rRNA from 1 species
UGCAGUCGAACGGUAACAGGAAACAGCUUGCUGUUUCGCUGACGAGUGGCGGACGGGUGAGUAAUGUCUGGGAAACUGCCUGAUGGAGGGGGAUAACUACUGGAAACGGUAGCUAAUACCGCAUAACGUCGCAAGACCAAAGAGGGGGACCCUCGGGCCUCUUGCCAUCGGAUGUGCCCAGAUGGGAUUAGCUUGUUGGUGGGGUAACGGCUCACCAAGGCGACGAUCCCUAGCUGGUCUGAGAGGAUGACCAGCCACACUGGAACUGAGACACGGUCCAGACUCCUACGGGAGGCAGCAGUGGGGAAUAUUGCACAAUGGGCGCAAGCCUGAUGCAGCCAUGCCGCGUGUAUGAAGAAGGCCUUCGGGUUGUAAAGUACUUUCAGCGGGGAGGAAGGGAGUAAAGUUAAUACCUUUGCUCAUUGACGUUACCCGCAGAAGAAGCACCGGCUAACUCCGUGCCAGCAGCCGCGGUAAUACGGAGGGUGCAAGCGUUAAUCGGAAUUACUGGGCGUAAAGCGCACGCAGGCGGUUUGUUAAGUCAGAUGUGAAAUCCCCGGGCUCAACCUGGGAACUGCAUCUGAUACUGGCAAGCUUGAGUCUCGUAGAGGGGGGUAGAAUUCCAGGUGU